CAUAGUUUAGGGUUACAAUUGAUUGAGUUCAUAGAGCUAAUUGGUCUUUGUAUCCUAAUUGGUUGUUGUUCUUCCAAUCAAUUGUAGGCCUACCUCUUAUUUUGAUAGCUUAUGGUUACAAUUGAUUGAGUUCGUAAAAAUAAUUAGAUUUUAUAUCCUAAUUGGUUCUUAUUCUUUCAAUAAAUUGUAGGUCUAACUCUUAUUUUUUAUUCCGCAUAUUUUGCUAUAUUUGUAUUUUCAUUCAUAGUCCAUAUCAUCUUGGUAUAGAGCAGCGGUUUUGGAUUGAAAAGGAGGGUUUUGAUAAUUAUUUUUGAAUCUGGACUGAGUUUGAGGAAUUCCAAGUCACAAAUUUGAAACCCGUCCUUGCCGAGUUCCUCGAAGAAGCUGGUCAUUUGAAAUCUGAAAAUUAGGGUUCGAAGUUGGCUGGGUGUUCGAGAUUUUAGUUGCAUCAUUGUGAAGCUCAAUCUGAAGUGUGGGAUCAAUUUGAAACUGAUUUGCUAGGGUUUUAAGUUCGAAUAUUGAACUAAUUGCGCGGAGAAGAAGACGACACUUAGAUCUUCUGUUUUUGCUGCUGUUUGUUCAAAAUAAUCACUGGGGUUUUGUAGUGAGAUGGUUUAGAGACGAUUUGAACGUGAUUUUAUUGGAAAAUUUUCGAGCUGAUUCUGUGGAGAAAAAGAACUGAAUUCUUUGAAUUUGGGGGUGAUAUCUUCAAAUCGAUUUCUGGGUGUGAUUCUUAUGCUUUUGAAAAUUGAAUUCAAAGUGUGAGUCCAUUUGAUGAACAUUUGAGCAGCUGAUAUUGAAGGUCGAAGUCGAAGAGCACUAGUUUCAAUUGAAGAACUUCGCGGACUGAUUCGACUCGACUCGACUCGAGCAGCUGACAAAUCGUCGCAACGAAUCAGAUGUUGGCUGCUGAUGUUGCAGCGUUCGAUGGUAGCUGGAUUGAAGAUGUACCUGCGUUCCGGUUAAAGCUGCCCCUUGUUCGUAGUAGCUUUAGGUCUAUAAAACUCUGUUUACGUACUUUUUAAGCAAACUAUGUAUUUAUUUCAUUUUCGCUUUGUAAACUCUAUUCUUAGAAACUCAUGAUUUGUACUACGAGUCCUUGGGAAACAUAUAAAGUUCAGUAAAUUGCUUUCGUUUAA